GCUAACCCUAGCCCCAAACCCAACCCACCCUACUACCAACCAACCCUAACCAAACCAUUCACCCAAACAAAGUAUAGGCGAUAGAAAUUACAAUCCGGCGCAAUAGACACAGUACCGUAAGGGAAAGAUGAAAAAACACAACCAAGCACAACAUAGCAAGGACUAACCCCUGUACCUUUUGCAUAAUGAAUUAACUAGAAACAACUUUGCAAGGAGAGCCAAAGCCAAGACCCCCGAAACCAGACGAGCUACCCAUAAACAGCUAAAAGAGCACACCCGUCUAUGUAGCAAAAUAGUGGGAAGAUUUAUGGGUAGAGGCGACAAACCUACCGAGCCUGGUGAUAGCUGGUUGUCCAAGACAGAAUCUUAGUUCAACUUUAAAUUUACUUACAGAACCCCUAAUCCCCUCGUAAAUUUAAUUGCUAGUCUAAAGAGGAACAGCUCUUUAGACACUAGGAAAAAACCUUAAAAAGAGAGUAAAAAACACAACACCCAUAGUGGGCCCAAAAGCAGCCAUCAAUUAAGAAAGCGUUCAAGCUCGACACCUAAACACCAAAAAAUACCAAACACAAAACUGAACUCCUUACUCCCCAUUGGACUAAUCUAUUGCCCCAUAGAAGAAACAAUGUUAGUAUAAGUAACAUGAAGAUAUUCUCCCCCGCAUAAGUCUACGUCAGACCGAAACAUCACACUGACAAUUAACGGUCCAAUAUGCAUAGUUAACAAAUAAACUAUUAUUUUUUCCCCCCGUUAAUCCAACACAGGCAUGCCUAUAAGGAAAGGUUAAAAAAAGUAAAAGGAACUCGGCAAAUCUCACCCCGCCUGUUUACCAAAAACAUCACCUCUAGCAUUACCAGUAUUAGAGGCACCGCCUGCCCGGUGACAUACGUUUAACGGCCGCGGUACCCUGACCGUGCAAAGGUAGCAUAAUCACUUGUUCCUUAAAUGGGGACUUGUAUGAAUGGCUUCACGAGGGUUCGACUGUCUCUUACUUUUAACCAGUGAAAUUGACCUGCCCGUGAAGAGGCGGGCAUAACAUAACAAGACGAGAAGACCCUAUGGAGCUUCAAUUUACCAGUGCAAAUAACAUACAACAAGCCCACAGGCCCUAAAUCACCAAACCUGCACUGAAGAUUUCGGUUGGGGCGACCUCGGAGCACAACCCAACCUCCGAGAAACACAUGUUAAGACCUCACAAGUCAAAACGAACUUCCACACACAAUUGAUCCAACAACUUGACCAACGGAACAAGUUACCCUAGGGAUAACAGCGCAAUCCUGUUCUAGAGUCCAUAUCAACAACAGGGUUUACGACCUCGAUGUUGGAUCAGGACAUCCUAAUGGUGCAGCCGCUAUUAAAGGUUCGUUUGUUCAACGAUUAAAGUCCUACGUGAUCUGAGUUCAGACCGGAGCAAUCCAGGUCGGUUUCUAUCUAUUUCACAUUUCUCCCUGUACGAAAGGACAAGAGAAAUGGGGCCUACUUCACAUAAGCGCCUUUCCCAAACAAAUGAUAUCAUCUCAAUUUAACACCACACCAACACCCACCCAAGAAAAGGGCUAU
ensembl:Mt_rRNA